rnacentral:rRNA from 1 species
GGGUUAGUGGCGGACGGGUGAGUAACGCGUGGGUAACCUGCCUUACACAGGGGGAUAACACUUAGAAAUAGGUGCUAAUACCGCAUAAGCGCACGGUACUGCAUGGUACAGUGUGAAAAACUCCGGUGGUAUGGGAUGGACCCGCGUCUGAUUAGCUUGUUGGCGGGGUAACGGCCCACCAAGGCGACGAUCAGUAGCCGGCCUGAGAGGGUGGACGGCCACAUUGGGACUGAGACACGGCCCAAACUCCUACGGAAGGCAGCAG